GAUGAACGCUGGCGGCGUGCCUAACACAUGCAAGUCGAACGGAAAGACGCGUAGUUUGUUCCUUUGACGUUUGCGGGGGGCGGGUGUGUAACGCGUGGAUCCUACUCUUCUCUUACGGGGAUGACUGCGGAACUGCGGCUACUAUACUAUAUAAUAUCAUGUACGGCUUGGUUCAGGAGAGCUUGUCGGUUUGGGUGUCACUAUUAGCCGAUUCCGCGGCGGAUUGGCUAGUUGGUAGGGUAACGGCCUACCAAGGCGACGAUGCGUAGCCGACCUGAGAGGGUGAUCGGCCACACUGGAACGGAGACACGGUCCAGACUCCUACGGGAGGCAGCAGUAGGGAAUCUUCGGCAAUGGGCGAAAGCCUGACGCAGCAACACCGCGUGAGUGAAGAAGGCCUUCGGGUGGUAAAGCCCUGUUGUUGGGGAAGAACAGCUGUAGCUGUAAAUGAAGCUGUCGUGACGGUACCUAAAGAAGAAGCACCGGCUAACUACGUG
rnacentral:rRNA from 1 species